AGCUGAGAUCCACAUAUGUUUCAUGCUUAAACGUGUUUGCAUUACUACAGCACAGAAUGUGGUGGCUCCAUAGGAAAGUUGCAGUCUGUGCUUUGCUUAUAGCCUAUGCGGUCUUGUUCAUGAGUUCAGUUUCUGUGUUGACAGAAGCAAGAAUUUCCAAGUUCGAAGCUAUUCAAGAAAGCCUAGUCCUUCAGCGUCGACAACUGAGGCCGAUCGAAUAUUCUCAAAAUACCCCAUUGCCAAAUCCCCCAUUACAUCACGAUCGGUAGGAGUUUGAAGAGCUAGCUGGGUUACAAUAUUUCUGCAAAAUAUAUACUUGGAUGAAAUUGGUCUAACAUGACGAUUCAGAAGUGAAGUGGUUGCAGCCAAAAUGUGUCCGUGAUGUAUCUUUUUGUUUUAAAUUUUCUAUAUUUUGCUCCUUUCAACCAUUAAUAUGCAUAACAAGCAAGCAGUGGAUUGGAGAGUCGCCUUGUUGCUUGUAAGUUGUAACUCUCCACAACUGGAACUUAGUUGUAGUUAACUGCUAGCUAUUAAUAAUCUUACGUUCUCCCUAUUUUGAUAAUUCAUAUAUAUAAAAACUAGUGCUCUCUGUUUUUCAGUA